rnacentral:rRNA from 1 species
UACGUAGGGGGCAAGCGUUGUCCGGAAUCAUUGGGCGUAAAGCGCGUGUAGGCGGCCCGGUAAGUCCGCUGUGAAAGUCCAGGGCUCAACCCUGGGAUGCCGGUGGAUACUGUCGGGCUCGAGUCCGGAAGAGGCGGGUGGAAUUGCGAGUGUAGAGGUGAAAUUCGUAGAUAUUCGCAGGAACACCAGUGGCGAAGGCGACUCGCUGGACUUGUGGUGACGCUGAGACGCGAAAGCGUGGGUAGCAAACAGG